AACCCGUGGUGAGGACAAUCUCUUUGAUAACCCUUAAAACGUUCCCAUGAAGCCUUGAACGCUUCGGUUGGACCCUGACCAAAAGAGGAGAUCAUGGCU
rfam:Arabis alpina cultivar Pajares chromosome 4, whole genome shotgun sequence.